rnacentral:lncRNA from 1 species
AGGAUUGUUGGUAAUGACUCUUACAUAACCUAUGGGAAACCAAACUAUAUUUUGUUGUAGGAUUUCAUAACUGUGCCAACAGAAAGGCAGGACAUGCAAAAACUUAGACUAGGUUAUGUCAUUUUGUAAAAGUUACAUGAACUUCAAUUGAGUAGUUUGACAUUAAGUAUAACUAACCUGCCUUGCAGAAGUUGGCUAAGACCAAUAGAUCCAAGCACCGUUAGUGAGAUCAUAGGAAGUCCAUAUCUCAUAAAUGGCGAUUUCCUUCCCAAUCUUUUGUAUGAUGAAGUUGGGUUCUGAACCUUGGAAGCAGAGGAGGCUGCACGCUCAUUUACUUUAUUAAGCUGACUCGUCAUGGUCUUAGUAGUUGUCAUUGGUAUACGUCAGGAGGUCCCCUCCUUCACAAUCUCCAACUAGGCAAGAAGUUUAUAAUAAUCAAUCAAAUAUUUCCGCUAUUUCCUAAUCAAAACAUGAACUUUCUCUGUUCACAAAUUAAAGGUUUUUUUUCUCCUCACAAUUGAGAAUUAACAAACACAAAAUUUAGCACAGAGAGGUUGCACGCUCAUUAACUUUAUUAUUAAGCUGACUCGUCAUGGUCUGAGCAGUUGUCAUUGGUAUAAGUCAGGAGGUCCCCUCCUUCAUAAUCUCCAACUGGAAAGAAGUUUAUAAUAAUCAAUCAAAUAUUUCGGCGAUUUACUCAUCAAAACAUGAACUUUCUCUGUUCACAAAUUAAAGGUUUUUUUUCUCCUCACAAUUGAGAAUUAACAAACACAAAACUUAGCACAGCUCAGCCAUCAAACUCCAUAGGAAUUUAUUUGCAGAAGAAUGUAAUGCCACCCCAUUAUACAUUUUUGACAUCAUCUUCCACAGUAACCAUUGAAGAACUAACACUAUACCCAAUUCAG